CAGCAGCCACGGUAAUACAGAGGGUGCAAGCGUUAAUCGGAAUUACUGGGCGUAAAGCGCGCGUAGGUGGUUUGUUAAGUUGGAUGUGAAAGCCCCGGGCUCAACCUGGGAACUGCAUCCAAAACUGUCAAGCUAGAGUACGGUAGAGGGUGGUGGAAUUUUCUGUGUAGCGGUGAAAUGCGUAGAUAUAGGAAGGAACACCAGUGGCGAAGGCGACCACCUGGACUGAUACUGACACUGAGGUGCGAAAGCGUGGGGAGCAAACAGGAUUAGAUACCCCUGUAGUCCCUGUCUCUUAUAC
rnacentral:rRNA from 1 species